rnacentral:rRNA from 1 species
CCUACGGGAGGCAGCAGUGAGGAAUAUUGGUCAAUGGCCGGAAGGCUGAACCAGCCAUGCCGCGUGAAGGUCAGUGCCCUUUGGGCGUUAAACUUCUUUUUUCCGGGAGCAUUAAUGCUCCCGUUUGGCCAGACGAGAGUACCGUACGAAUAAGCAUCGGCUCACUCCGUGCCAGCAGCCGCGGGAAUACGGGGGGUGCAAGCGUUAUCCGGAUUUAAUGGGUUUAAAGGGUGGGUAGGCUGUGAGGUAAGUCAGCGGUGAAAUGCCCCCGUUCAACGGGGUGAAGUGCCAUUGAUACUGGCAGGCUGGAAUGCGGAUGCGGUGGGAGGAAUGUGUGGUGUAGCGGUGAAAUGCAUAGAUAUCACACAGAACACCGAUUGCGAAGGCAUCUCACGAAACCGCGAUUGACGCUGAUGCACGAAAGCGUGGGUAUCAAACAGGAUUAGAUACCCCUGUAGUC